rnacentral:rRNA from 1 species
UACGUAGGUGGCAAGCGUUGUCCGGAAUUAUUGGGCGUAAAGCGCGCGCAGGCGGCCUCCUAAGUCUGAUGUGAAAUCUUGCGGCUCAACCGCAAGCGGCCAUUGGAAACUGGGGGGGCUUGAGUACAGAAGAGGAGAGUGGAAUUCCACGGUGUAGCGGUGAAAUGCGUAGAUAUGUGGAGGAACACCAGUGGCGAAGGCGACUCUCUGGUCUGUAAACUGACGCUGAGGCGCGAAAAGCGUGGGGGAGCAAACAGG